UGGGGAAUAUUGGGCAAUGGGCGCAAGCCUGACCCAGCAACGCCGCGUGAAGGAAGAAGGCUUUCGGGUUGUAAACUUCUUUGACAGGGGAAGAUAAUGACGGUACCCUGAAAACUAGCUCCGGCUAACUACGUGCCAGCAGCCGCGGUGAUACGUAGGGAGCAAGCGUUAUCCGGAAUUACUGGGUGUAAAGGGCGCGUAGGCGGGUCUGCAAGUCAGAUGUGAAAUGCCGGGGCUUAACCUCGGAGCUGCAUUUGAAACUGUAGGUCUUGAGUGAUGGAGAGGCAGGCGGAAUUCCCGGUGUAGCGGUGGAAUGCGUAGAUAUCGGGAGGAACACCAGUGGCGAAGGCGGCCUGCUGGACAUUAACUGACGCUGAGGCGCGAAAGCGUGGGGAGCAAACAGG
rnacentral:rRNA from 1 species